rnacentral:rRNA from 1 species
UCUGCCUGGUAGUGGGGGACAACGUUUCGAAAGGAACGCUAAUACCGCAUACGUCCUACGGGAGAAAGCAGGGGACCUUCGGGCCUUGCGCUAUCCAGAUGAGCCUAGGUCGGAUUAGCUAGUAGGUGAGGUAAUGGCUCACCUAGGCGACGAUCCGUAACUGGUCUGAGAGGAUGAUCAGUCACACUGGAACUGAGACACGGUCCAGACUCCUACGGGAGGCAGCAGUGGGGAAUAUUGGACAAUGGCGAAAGCCUGAUCCAGCCAUGCCGCGUGUGUGAAGAAGGUCUUCGGAUUGUAAAGCACUUUAAGUUGGGAGGAAGGGCAGUAAGUUAAUACCUUGCUGUUUUGACGUUACCAACAGAAUAAGCACCGGCUAACUUCGUG